ACGCUCGACACCUACGGGAGGCAGCAGUUGGGAAUAUUGGACAAUGGAGGAAACUCUGAUCCAGUGACGCCGCGUGAAGGAAGAAGGUCUUCGGAUUGUAAACUUAUUUUGUCAGGGAAGAAAAAAUGACUGUACCUGAAGAAAAAGCACCGGCUAACUACGUGCCCGCAGCCGCGGUAAUCUGAGCGGGCUGGCAAGGC
rnacentral:rRNA from 1 species